UGGGGAAUAUUGGACAAUGGGGGCAACCCUGAUCCAGCCAUGCCGCGUGCGUGAAGAAGGCCUUAGGGUUGUAAAGCGCUUUCAGCGGGGAAGAUAAUGACGGUACCCGCAGAAGAAGCCCCGGCUAACUCCGUGCCAGCAGCCGCGGUAAUACGGAGGGUGCAAGCGUUGUCCGGAUUUAUUGGGUUUAAAGGGUACGUAGGCGGAUGAUUAAGUCCGUGGUGAAAGCUCUCGGCUCAACCGGGAAACUGCCAUGGAUACUGGUUAUCUUGAGUACAGUAGAGGUGGGCGGAAUUCAUGGUGUAGCGGUGAAAUGCAUAGAUACCAUGAGGAACACCGAUAGGGAAGCCAGCUCACUGGACUGUAACUGACGCUGAGGUACGAAAGCGUGGGGAGCGAACAGGAUUAGAUACCCCUGUAGUCC
rnacentral:rRNA from 1 species